rnacentral:lncRNA from 1 species
AUGGACGGACUUACAUGCUCGACGCCUAUGGAAAUUUGGCCGUUCCUGCUGAUACCCAUGUAAGAGACGUGCUCGUUGUAUGAAGAGGUCAUGCAGUUGACACGUUACCUCCCUUUUGGGAAUUUCUUUUUGAGGUGACGUCAUCGAUCACAUGCGUGAUCAUUACUUCUGCUCCCGAGGUGGUUCAGGAGAGGUCAUCUCGUUGACAUGUUACCUCCCUUUUGGGAAUUUCUUUUUGAGGUGAGGUCAUCGAUCACAUGCGUGAUCAUUACUUCUCCUCCCGAGGUGGUUCAGGUUAAGACGUGACGUUUGGGUUUCCUGCGCCGAUUUUUU